AACGAACGCUGGCGGCAUGCCUAACACAUGCAAGUCGAACGAGACCUUCGGGUCUAGUGGCGCACGGGUGCGUAACGCGGGGGAACCUGCCCUUAGGUUCGGAAUAACUCCCCGAAAGGGGUGCUAAUACCGGGUAAUGUCUUCGGACCAAAGAUUUAUCGCCUUUGGAUGGGCCCGCGUUGGAUUAGCUAGUUGGUAGGGUAAAAGCCUACCAAGGCGACGAUCCAUAGCUGGUCUGAGAGGAUGCUCAGCCACACUGGGACUGAGACACGGCCCAGACUCCUACGGGAGGCAGCAGUGGGUAAUAUUGGACAAUGGGCGAAAGCCUGAUCCAGCAAUGCCGCGUGAGUGAUGAAGGCCUUAGGGUUGUACAGCUCUUUUACCCGGGAUGAUAAUGACAGUACCGGGAGAAUAAGCUCCGGCUAACUCCGUG
rnacentral:rRNA from 1 species